CACGGAGGCCCCAAGCGUUGUUCGGAAUUACUGGGCGUAAAGGGUGCGUAGGCGGCGAGGUAAGUCAGAUGUGAAAUUCCUGGGCUCAACCCAGGACGUGCGCCUGAGACUGGCGUGCUUGAGUCCGGGAGAGGAUGGUGGAACUCCCAGUGUAGAGGUGAAAUUCGUAGAUAUUGGGAAGAACACCCGUGGCGAAGGCGGCCAUCUGGACCGGUACUGACGCUAAGGCGCGACAGCGUGGGGAGCAAACAGG
rnacentral:rRNA from 1 species